rnacentral:rRNA from 1 species
CGUCUGAUUAGCCAGUUGGCAGGGUAACGGCCUACCAAAGCGACGAUCAGUAGCCGACCUGAGAGGGUGACCGGCCACAUUGGGACUGAGACACGGCCCAAACUCCUACGGGAGGCAGCAGUGGGGAAUAUUGCACAAUGGGGGAAACCCUGAUGCAGCGACGCCGCGUGAGCGAAGAAGUAUUUCGGUAUGUAAACUUCUAUCAGCAGGGAAGAAGAUGACGGUACCUGACUAAGAAGCCCCGGCUAACUAC